CAAGUAAGCAGUUAGUAGCGGAUUAUCUUUCUGCAUAUUCUUGGCUGUGUGACUCUGUCCCUGAGUAGCUGCUGCACAGCUGACUAUAAGUAGAUUCUCGUCUUCUUGGCAGAGCGUGUUCGCUGCCUCUUUGUCAGAGUUUUGCCUCUGACAGUGAGUAGCUCUGGAGACUGAAAGAGGAUGGGUUCUUGGUGUGCUUUCUUCCAUCUCAAAAUGAAAGUGAAACCUGGUCCAGAAGCGUGGAUUGGGGUAAAGUAGCCGAAGAGUUUACAGGAGGAGGCAGCUGAGGGCUGUGCUGUUGGACUGUCAGAACAGAGAGAGACUAACCCUGCAGAGAGUUAGGCCCUUGAGGUAUUUGCCUGGAAGGCAGGGUAAGAAACCCUAUUCUGACUUUAUUUACAGGGAAAAACUUUAGAUAAACAGAGGGAUGUGUUUGACCAGCGGCCAGCAGCCUGUGGCUCAGAACAAGAAGCAGGCUGGAGCUCAGAGGCACCUCUCUGAACCCCGACAGACAGACGCUGAGGAAGCCCUAGGCAGAAGAAGUGCAAAUACCUUUUUUAAAGGGUCCGCAAGCGAGGAUGUGGGGACAGGAGCCGCUGCGCUGUGGGAGGAGUGGAGACCACACAGCCCCCGAGGAAGCGGCAUGGAGGCGCCUCACACACACAGGAGGAGAAGGAGCAUCCACUCCAGCAAGUCCACCCACGGGUGUGCUCCCCGAACCACCGAGCAGAGAGCCCGGAAGAGGCGUCCGUGCACCCGGCUCACGGCAGCAGCAGCUGCUGCUCCAUCCACAGAUGGACACGGAGCGUGGCCCUGGCGGACGUUGGGGUCUUGCUCACGCUUAGGGGGAAGGACACCCUGACACAGGCCACAGCGCCGAUGAACCCAGAGGACUUAAACUCAGCGAGAGUGGCCAGACCAAAAAGACGGGUACUACCCAACUCCACUUCCAAGAGGGCUGCAGUGGAGUCAGAUUCUUAAAGACACAGAGCCGGGAGUCAUUGUUGUUUCACGGGGCAGUCUCACUCGGGGAAGAUGAAGCAGUCGGGGGAUGGAUGGCAGCGCUCAGAGUCUGUACUUAAUGACCCCGAAGUCUGCGCUUCAGAAUGGUUCAGGUGGUAACCUGGAUGUUAUGUGUAUUUUAUCACCAUAAAAACUUAAAAAAAAAGUUCUCUUUAAAACCAGAUUCUGUUCACAUCAGAGUGUUCCCAGGACGUGCCCUCACUCAGCAGGCUGCCUGUGGCCUGCCCAUCCUGCCUCCCCUGCGAGCGCUGUCUGGGGUGGGAGGCAGGCGGCCUGGGCCGCAGGCGCCCUCCGCCUCCCGGGUCAUCUGCAAGGCCGCCCGUGUGGGUUACAGCCAGAGUGACUGUGGCCGCUGAGCAUGGACCCUCCACCACGCUUUGCGGCAGGAAAUUUUGUGGUCUGGUUCCUAGAAAUAAGCCCAUAGAUAGGAAAGCCCCCUUUCCUUAUAUAAAAAGAAGUCAAAGAUGGGAAAUGAAGAGGCCAGCGUCAAGGGGAAGAGUGAAUUCCCAGCCACCGAUGAAAGCUUGGGCGACAAGCCCUUCCUGCUGUCUUCAGACGAGGUGGACCGCCCCUGCCUCGGAGGGCAGGCGGGGAAGGGGCGGGGGUCCAAAGGAACACUUGCCGGGAGGAAGUGGAGCUGGAGGGCAGAGCGGGGACCAGGUCAAGGGGUGUCCAGCCAGAGGGUCAGCUGGGCCUUCUGGAGGAAACGAUGUUUAAGCUGAACCUGUAACAGCUCAUAUAAACAAGCUGUUCUGAAGUUAUUUCCUGUUUCCAUAAGGG
ensembl:lncRNA